rnacentral:rRNA from 1 species
UACUCGAGUGGCGAACGGGUGAGUAACACGUGGGUGAUCUGCCCUGCACUCUGGGAUAAGCCUGGGAAACUGGGUCUAAUACCGGAUAGUACCAUGCUUUAGUGUGUGUGGUGGAAAGUUUUUUCGGUGUAGGAUGAGCCCGCGGCCUAUCAGCUUGUUGGUGGGGUAAUGGCCUACCAAGGCGGCGACGGGUAGCCGGACUGAGAGGUUGGUCGGCCACAUUGGGACUGAGAUACGGCCCAG